rnacentral:rRNA from 1 species
GACGGAGGGUGCGAGCGUUGUUCGGAUUGACUGGGCGUAAAGGGCGUGUAGGCGGCCGAUCAAGUCCGGUGUGAAAGCCCGGGGCUCACCCCCGGAAGUGCAUCGGAAACUAGUCGGCUUGAGCGCGAUAGAGGAGGGUGGAAUUCCUGGUGUAGCGGUGAAAUGCGUAGAUAUCAGGAGGAACAUCGGCGGCGAAGGCGGCCCUCUGGCUCGUUGCUGACGCUGAGACGCGAAAGCGUGGGGAGCAAACAGG